CAUACGGGAGGCAGCAGUGGGGAAUAUUGGACAAUGGGCGAAAGCCUGAUCCAGCCAUGCCGCGUGUGUGAAGAAGGCCUUCGGGUUGUAAAGCACUUUCAGUGGGGAAGAAAGCCUUGGGGCUAAUACCCUCGAGGAAGGACAUCACCCACAGAAGAAGCACCGGCUAACUCCGUGCCAGCAGCCGCGGUAAUACGGAGGGUGCGAGCGUUAAUCGGAAUUACUGGGCGUAAAGCGCGCGUAGGCGGUCUGAUAAGCCGGUUGUGAAAGCCCCGGGCUCAACCUGGGAACGGCAUCCGGAACUGUCAGGCUAGAGUGCAGGAGAGGAAGGUAGAAUUCCCGGUGUAGCGGUGAAAUGCGUAGAGAUCGGGAGGAACACCAGUGGCGAAGGCGGCCUUCUGGACUGACACUGACGCUGAGGUGCGAAAGCGUGGGUAGCAAACAGGAUUAGAUACCCCGGUAGUC
rnacentral:rRNA from 1 species